UCGUGCAAUCUUCUCUCUCUAUCCGCUCUCAACUUUCUAUCUCUUUUCUCACGCUGUCCCUAAUGCUCCUCCCUCAAUCUUCUAUCUUUCACGUUUCUCUCUCUAAAUUUUUUGGUUUUUACCUCUGCCUCUAUUCUCUGUUAUUCUCUUUGUUUUUCCUUUUUAUCUUUUAUUCUCUCUCCGGUUUCCCGGUUUCAGAUUUAAAAUCCAGUGCAACAUAUCCAUGGUCUAUUUUAUUGGAUGGUAGAUUAGAGUGAAGCUCUUAUUGUGAGAUUUGAGCUUCGGCUAUGUCUUGGCUACCAACCCCUCCUUACCCAGUACAUUCAGGGACGGCAAAUGAAAUGGUUUGUCCACUGUUUCUAAUCUUGGGAUGGAUUUGGAAGUACAACCAUUCUUUCUCUCAAGAGAGUGGAGGGCCAGUAUUGAGGGCACAGGUAACCUUCCAAGGGAGCACAAGUAAUCCUCAAUGGAUCAUAAUUGACACCACGGAACCUUUUUUUACCUUUUUGAGCUUAUGGUUCAUUGUAUCCUUUUUGUAUCUAUUGUUCAGUUAGUUUUUUGGAUGUAUGGUAUUUUUUGAGUUACCUCACCUUUUUGGACAGAGCACCCAGGUUGUGGGCUGCCUAUUUUUUAUGUACUCUGCAUACUUUCUGUUUAUACUUAUAUUAACAAUUUUUUGAAAAAAAUACAUAUCUUUUUUGCGAAUAGAGUUUUGGAUGCUAAUUAGAUCUCUUGGGGGUGUAUAACUACAUAGCUUCUUUGUGUAAAUUUUAAGACGAUUUGAAUGUGGUAAAUAGUGUGCUAUCGUUUUGAUUCAUGCAAGUACUGGUUGUAGGAUUUUUAUGUUCAUUGAAUUUGUGAUGAGCCCAUUGUUGUGAUGUUAAGACGUUCAUCCAUCUGUUUCAACAUGUGUUUCAUGUGUGAUUUGGACUAUGUUUGGAUAAGUUGCAGGUCAUACAUAAUAUGAUUGUUAUUGCAACUAUGGGUCUUUUUGAUUUUUGACCAAAUGCUGCUACUUUACUUCAUAAUGUGUUCAUAAUAUGUAUAUGUUGAUCUCAGGGUUAGCAUAUAUAGGAUGUUAGUAACAUGUGUUGCAAGUCAUAUGAGCUAUAUGCAACCUUAUGGUGGAAGUCUCUGUUAUUUCAUGUCUAGCUUCUUGUUGUGUAACUGUUCCAAAAUUUUUUCCCUUUUUUAUCAUACUUUGUACAUACUCACAUAUUGAAAUAGAUCAAGUAUGUAAAUUGAAUAAAGUUGUGUAGGAGCUAGAAUCUCUUUCAAAUUCAACAUAGUUUUGAUCGUUGGCAGACUGUUGAUGUUUUGUACUUGGCUUCUAUGUCAAUGGUUAAUGCAGCCCCUAGUUUGAGAAGACUUCAUCACAAUAUUUGCUACCAACUUGUGCUAGGUUCAGUCAGUCCAUUAUGCAACAAAUUGCCAUGCAAUUAGCUCUUCAUAUUUUUUUUGGCAUUAGUGAACACACUAUUAACAAUUAUUUAUAUACUUCUGGCAGCGUGUACACACUUUUAACAAUGUGCAUAUGUUGAUUUCAAUGCUUGUAUGUUGUUGAUAAUGUGUAUAUCAUAUGAGCUUCUUACUUUGAUUAAUAGCUUGACUUGUAGGCUUUAUUUAGAGUUUGUGUUGUUUAACUAGAAUAUAUGUUGAUUAAUACAAGUCUAGGAUGAGUUGCAGGUCAUACAUACUACGAUUGGUUACUACAACAUUUGGUCUUGUUGGAUUAGGGCCUCACAAUGAGGUCUAGAGCUAUUGCUUGCAUUUGAAGAAGGAGAUUGGGCCUCACAAUGAGGUCUAGAGCUAUUGCUUGCAUUUGAAGAAGGAGAUUGGGCUUAAAUGUCGAGCGGCAUAGAUUGGUCUGUAGAAAGUACAACUAAGACAACAGGAAUUUGGAUCGGCAUAGAUUGGCCUUAAAUGUUGCAGCAUCGCAAUUGUUUGAUAUUCUAUGGCAAAAAGUUUGGCAACUAUUUUGAGGGUCUCCACUUUAUUGAUAUGGGAAUGUAAUAACCUUUUCAUGAUGACAAGUGCUUGUAAAAUACUAUGCUAUCAAUUGAUAAAUGUGUAAAUUUAUAGACGAUUUCAGUUUGUUAAAGAAUGUGUUAUUUUGAUUGA